GUGAAUCAUCGAAUCUUUGAACGCACCUUGCGCUCCUUGGUAUUCCUCGGAGCAUGCCUGUUUGAGUAUCAUGAAAUUAUCAAAAUAAAUCUUUUGUUCACUCGAUUGAUUUUAUUUUGACUUGGGGGUCUGCAGAUUCACGUCUGCUCCCCUUGAAUGCAUUAGCUGGAUCACUGUAGACUCGGUUCCACUCGGCGUGAUAAGUAUCACUCGCUGAGGACACUCUGUAAAAGGAGUGGCCGGGAUUACUAGAGAACCGCUUCCAAUAGUCCAUUUGCUUGGACAAUUACAUUUAUGAUCUGAUCUCAAAUCAGGUAGGACUACCCGCUGAACUUAA
rnacentral:rRNA from 1 species